rnacentral:lncRNA from 1 species
AGGAAAUUGAAACUGGGAGCUUUGGGGACUUGCCGGAGCAGGUGAGAAUGACUCUCACACCGAGACUCCUAGAGACAUCCCGCUCCCUGAUAAUCACAGUGGUUCAGUUCUCAGAACACGGGCUUUCCUUACCUUGCCACUAUUGACACUUGGAGCCAGAUAAUUCUUGGUUGUGAGGAUCUGUCCUGUGUGUUGUAGUAUGUUUUGUAACAUCUUUCCUUUGCCUACAAGGUGCCAGUAGCAAUCCCCCUAGUUAUGUCUCCAAACAUUGCCUAAAAUCUCCAGGAGGACAACAUCAUCUGAUUGAAAACCACUUGACUAAUGGAAUCGGGCUCCAUGACAAACGGCUUCUCCCGUUUACCUGGUUUACUCUUUCCUGUCUGCGUGCCAACAGGGGCCUCAAUUUUUUUUGUGUGUGUGACAAAUUAUAAAAAGCUACAGUGAAUUUGCCUUGCACUACGUCCUGACAGCAUAAUCAAAUAACAGUUUUCAACCUACUGCCUGCACAGCAAGAAGACAAAGUGUGUAAGGACGGGAGCCACAUUUUUUUUCCUUUAAUAAAUCUUCGUUCAGUGAAUGAAAAAGUGGAUUGCUGCUGCUAACCACGAGCCAAGCAGGUUACAGACUCUACACACAUUAUACAGUUUCAUUCCCCAACCACCUAUGCAUUACAUAUUAAAAGGCCUGUUUCUGAAAGGCAGAGUGUAGAGGAUUUGUAGGGCAGUGAAAAGGUAUCCAUAAUCAGUGAUCUAUUGCCAAACCUUAACAGGAAGUCACAUGGCCAAGGAGAACACGGUUUGUGGAGUUCCAGCACCAGCCUCAAAGCAGAGCAUGGAAGGAGAACCUGCCAUUGAUGUGGACAAGUCUGCACUAGCCUCUGGAAGACGAAAAGGUCCAGGCAUUAGAAAAGACCCCAAGCCAUUCUACCUGUCCCAGCUGAGUCCCACACAGACCAGCCAUCCCCCAGCUACACACAGGUUUACUGCAAGCAUGCGAGUAAAUCCAGUGAAGUUCAACAACACCCAGCCAAAAUCAGCCAAAUUGUCUAGUCUACUUCCAGAUUUGUGAAAAUAAACUCUGCAACUCACGGAUCAGAAGAUCUCACUCGCGAAUCCAUGCCACUGGGGACUAGCGUCCCAACUCCAGAAUGCACAGACUCUUAACAGCCGCUCAGCUGGAAUCUGCUUAAGCCUAUGGAACUCCCACAGGGAGAGACAACCAGCACCGCACUUCGGCUGCCUGCUGUCUAAGCACUUUGAGCUCCUUGGGGGAGGGGCAGCAGCCAGCACUAGGACUGGCAACCGCCAAACACGCUAAGCUCCCUAGGUGGGGGAAGGGCGGCACCCAUCUCUAUAGCCCCAGGCUGUGCUUUUCCCCUGCUGGAGCCAGAGAGGCUGGAUUCCUUGGUCCUAAGACUUGUCCCCCACAGCCCAACACUGCAGCUGUGGCAGUCUGUGGCCAGAGUGCCUCUUCAGGCUUAACCCUGACCCAUCCUUCCUCAUUGGGCAGGGCUUCCCUGCAGGAACUCCAAUAACUCCAGCCAGAGAGGUUCAGGGACAGAAUCUGGAUCUCCCUGGGCCCGAGCCCUUAGGGGGAGGGGUGGCCACAGUCUCUAUGGAGCAGCAGACUUAGCCUCUCAUCCUGGUAGUUCUGAGAAAUCCAGGCAGCACAGAUAAGUGUGUUUCUCCCCAGUGAAUCAUACCCUCUCCACUAAAGGACAAAGUUCUUCAUUAAACAGGUCCUGUUCCCUGUGCUACCCAACUGGGUGAGACCCACCAAUCGGAGUUGUCAGACACCCUAUACAGGAGCAAUCCUGCUGGCAUCAGGUUGGUGCCCCUCUAGGUCAAAGAUGCCAGAAGAAGGAGCAGGCACCCAUCAUUGCUGUUUUCCAGCCUCCUUGAGUGACAUCUCUAGGCACAGGAGCAAAUCAGAUUAAUAGGGCCUGAACUGAACCCCCAGUAAACUACAGCAGCCCUACAGAAGAGGGAACUGACCACUGGGGGGAAAAAAAAAAACAGAAAGCAACAACAGGAGCAUCAACCACAACAACAACAACAAAAAGCCCCCACAAAAACCCCAUUCACGGGUCAGCAGCCUCAAAGACUGAAACUAGACAAACUCAUGAAGAUGAGAAAGAAUCAACAAAAGAAUGCUGAAAACCCAGAAGGCCAGAGUGCCUCUUCUCUUGUAAAUGAUCACAACAUUUCUCCACCAAGGGCACAGAACAGGAUGGAGGAUGAGAUGGAUGCAUUGACAAAAGUAGGCUUCAGAAGAUGGGUAAUAAAAAACUACACAGAGCUAAAGGAACAUAUCCUAACCCCAUGCAAAUAAACUAAGAACAUUGAUUAAAAAGUUCAAGGAAUUGCUAACUAGAAUAACCAGUUUAGAGAGCAACAUAAACCAGCUGACAGAGCUGAAAAACACAGCACGAGAACUUUGUGAAGCAUACACAAGUAUCAAUAGCUGAAUCGACCAAGAGGAAGAAAGGAUAUCAGAGUUUGAAGACCACUUUGCUGAAAUAAGGCAUGCAGACAAAACUAGAGAAAAAAAAGAAUGAAAAGGAAUGAACAAAGCCUCCAAGAAAUACAGGACUCCAUAAAAAGACUGAACCUACAACUGAUUGGAGUACCAGAGGAGACAGGGAGAAUGGAAACAAGCUGGAAAACACAGUUCAGGAUAUUAUCCAAGAGAACAUCCCCAAACUAGCAAGAAAGGCCAAGAUGCCAAUUCAGGAAAUACAGAGAACACCAUUAAGAUAUUCCAUGAGAAGAUCAGACCGGAAUGCAUAAUCAUCAGAUUCUCCAAGGUCAAAAUGAAGAACAAACAGUUAAAGCCAGCCAGAGAGUAAGGCCAGGUCACCUACUAAGGGAAGCCCAUCAGACUAACAGCAGAUAUCUCAGGAGAAACUGUACAAGCCAGAAGAGAUUGGGGGCCAAUAUUAACAUUCUUAAAAAAAAAAUUUUCAACCUAGAAUUUUAUAUACAGCCAAACUAAGCUUCAUAAGUGAAGGAGAAAUAAAAUCCUUUCAGACAAGCAAAUGCUGAGUGAUUUUGUUACCAUCAGGCCUGC